rnacentral:rRNA from 1 species
CCUACGGGCGGCAGCAGUGGGGAAUAUUGGGCAAUGGAGGAAACUCUGACCCAGCAACGCCGCGUGAAUGAUGAAGGUCUUCGGAUUGUAAAGUUCUAUCAAUAGGGAAGAAAGAAAUGACGGUACCUAAAUAAGAAGCCCCGGCUAACUACGUGCCAGCAGCCGCGGUAAUACGUAGGGGGCAAGCGUUAUCCGGAAUUACUGGGUGUAAAGGGAGAGUAGGCGGCAAGGUAAGCGAUAUGUGAAAGCCUUAGGCUUAACCAAAGGAUUGCAUAACGAACUAUCUAGCUAGAGUACAGGAGAGGAAAGCGGAAUUCCUAGUGUAGCGGUGAAAUGCGUAGAUAUUAGGAAGAACACCAGUGGCGAAGGCGGCUUUCUGGACUGAAACUGACGCUGAGGCUCGAAAGCGUGGGGAGCGAACAGGAUUAGAUACCCGGGUAGUC